GGGCGCUUGGUCUAGGGGUAUGAUUUUCGCUUCGCACUUCUGUCCAGAACGCGGUAAACUGUGAAAGGUCGUGAGUUCAAUUCUCACAGCGUCCA
rnacentral:tRNA from 1 species